AUGAGCAGAAAUAAAGAAAACCAGAGGCAGUAUUGGGUCGCCCACAGGAAUCCAUUCGCUCUCUCGCGCUGCUGUGCCUUCGUCUCCCCCCGUCCGCCCCCGGUUUUGGCUUCUCUCCGGGCGGAUUCCUCGUCGUCUUCAUACGAGGAGGGAUGGACGCCCCGCCGAUACUCGCCAAUAUAUACCCGCCCCGUCCCCCGACCCGGCCUCCACACUCGACCCCACCCCCGCCCCCGCCCUCGCCGCCGACGACCCCCUCCUCCUCCGCAGCGGCGACCCGAGAUCCGCCCUUCCCCGACGACCAUGCCGGUGGCGCAGGCGGGAGGGCAACCCGUGGCCGCGGACACCGCCUCGUCCCGCAGGAACCGCCGCCGCAACAAGAAGUCCUCCAACGCCAGCGCCAACGCCGCGGCCCCCGUGGUCGCUGUUCCGGCGCCGGUGCCGCCCACGCCGAUGCAGCGCCUCUUCGACACCAGCCGCGAGGUCUUCGCCGGCUCCGCCCCCGGCUUCGUCCCCCCGCCCGACGCCGUCGCCCGCCUCGCCGCAAUCCUCAAUGGCCUGAAGCUGCAAGAUGUUGGCAUAGACACAAGCAUGACGUGCUUCAAGCGCAGCGAGCCGAGGGGGCCUCCUGCAGUCACCUAUCUGCAUUUCUAUGACUGCCCCAAGUUUUCGUUUGGUAUCUUCUGUUUACCAAAGCAUGCUAUCAUUCCUCUGCACAACCAUCCCGGGAUGACCGUCUUCAGCAAGAUGCUCUUCGGCUCCAUGCACCUCAAGUCGUAUGACUGGGCUAGGAGUAUCUCGGAGGCUGGCACUACUGCGCUCACCACCUCAGACGGGGCUCGUCUAGCAAAGAUCAACACAAACAAUGUUGUUGACGCCUCAGCUGAUACCAUAGUUCUGUACCCGGAGAACGGAGGCAACCUGCACUGCUUCACGGCGCUGACCCCUUGCGCUGUUCUCGACGUCAUGGGACCCCCUUACAGCAGCGCUGCUGGCAGGGACUGUGCGUACUACAGCGAGACCCCCUUCUCAAACACAGCUGGUGUGGCUGACGUGCGGUACUCCUGGCUCAAGGAGAUUCCCAAUACCUUCCGGAUGAAGGGCGUAACGAUGCCGCGGGACUUCGUCGUCUAG
rnacentral:rRNA from 1 species